AAUAAAAAACCACACCAGGACAAAAUGUGCUGUCGCUACCACUACUAACCACCACUACAUUUUUCACUACUUAAAAAAGCCGAAGAGAUCUACAAAUUUUUUGUAGCAAGAGAGCAGCUACCAGUCUGUUUUGUAUCUUGGUUGCUACAAUGGAUGGAGAGAAAUUCUCAGUCGAAGCAGGGAAACCAAUUAGAUGCAAAGCUGCGGUGGCUCGCAAACCAGGAGAGCCUCUCGUAAUAGAGGAGAUAAUCGUGGCUCCUCCGAGUCAUCAUGAAGUUCGUGUUCGAAUUAUCUGCACCUCUCUCUGUCAAAGUGAUGUCACUUUUUGGAAAUUGAAGGAUCUUCCUGCUAUUUUUCCUAGAAUACUUGGCCAUGAGGCUAUCGGAGUUGUGGAGAGUGUAGGGGAGGAUGUAGAUGAGGUUGUCGAAGGAGAUGUUGUGAUUCCUGUAUUCUUGCCAGAUUGUGGAGAUUGUGCAGACUGCAAAUCAAAAAAGAGUAACCUUUGUUCGAAACUUCCCUUCCAGCUCUCUCCUUGGAUGCCUAGAGAUAAGACCAGUAGAUUCACUGACCUAAAAGGAGAGGUUCUAUACCAUUUCCUAAAUGUAUCAAGUUUUAGUGAGUAUACAGUGGUGGACACAGCCCAUAUUGUAAAGAUUGAUCCUUCAAUCCCACCAAGUAAAGCAUGCCUACUCAGUUGUGGAGUAUCAACAGGGGUUGGAGCUGCAUGGAGAACUGCAAAUGUUGAGGCUGGGUCAACUGUUGUCAUAUUUGGGCUUGGGUCAAUCGGCUUAGCAGUUGCAGAGGGUGCCAGAAUAAGCGGCGCUACUAAGAUUAUAGGGGUGGAUGUGAAUCAAGAAAAGUUCGAAAUUGCAAAAAAAUUUGGAGUCACAGACUUUGUCAAUGUUGGAGAAUGCGGGGAUAAACCUGUGAGCCAGGUGAUCAAUGAAAUGACUGGUGGGGGAGCAGACUAUUGCUUUGAAUGUGUUGGUUUGGUGUCCUUGAUGGAGCAAGCAUAUGCUUGCAGUCGAAAGGGAUGGGGAAAGACAGUCAUCUUAGGAGUGGAAAAAUCAGACUCAUUGAUCUCCCUUCGGUGUGCGGAUGUCGUUGGGAAUGGGAAAACCCUCACUGGAGCCUUGUUUGGUGGUCUCAAAGCUAAAUCUGAUAUUCCAACUCUCCUAAAGCGAUACAUGGACAAGGAACUGGAGUUGGAUAAGUUUGUGACCCAUGAGGUCGAUUUUGAAGACAUUAACAAAGCCUUCGAUUUAUUACUUGAAGGAAAGAGUCUCCGAUGUGUAAUUUGGAUGGACAAACAAGCAAGCUACUCCAAAGGUGUUCGUACAUCAUGAUUCUUGAAGGCUCUCGUUUAAGCGUCUGCCCUUCUAUUUGCACGAUGUUUGUGGGGUUUGAUCUUCAAACAAAUAAAGGCAGAUUCUAUUAGAAUAUCAAUAAAAGCAUAGUUUGGAUUCAAGGAAGCUCUUUUUUAUUUUUUAUAACAACGAACAUUUAAUACAAAUCUCCUCGAUUAUGAUACCGUAAAACAGCCUUAGGCUUUUGGCAUUCCA